rnacentral:rRNA from 1 species
GUCUACGACCAUACAUUGCUGAACAUACCGGUUCUCGUCCGAUACGAAGUCAAGAACAUAGGGGCCUGGUCAUAAUUGGAUGGGAGACCGCCUGAAUAACCGGGUGUUGUAGGCA